CACUAACUCGAAAUAAUAGUUUUUCAAGUAGAGCUUUCCACUAAAUAAGAGUCUCUGGCAGAAGGUAACCCAUGAACAAUGCACUUUAAGUCCCAAGUAACUAUAUUCAGCCAAGGUGUGGAAAUUAUAAGGGAAAGAAUGAGUUUAAGAUGAGAACUCUUUUAAGCCAGGCUAAGAUGUGGACUUCAAGAAAUUAAACGCACGAGAUGCUCAGCUGAGCAGCCGAUCACGUGGGUGGAUCAAGGACAAUGGGAAUAGUAACUGCUCAUCUCAGUGCUGCUUGUGUGAGAGAAGCAAACUGAAGGCAGGCUGCUGACCCACACUGCUGACCCACAUUGGCAACAGUCACAUUUAGCAGGCUCUGAGACCAUUAUUCCACCCCGACAUCCCAUCACUGCCAACACUCACCAGGCUGGACUUCACAUCCGAGGUUUGGGAGAGUUACAUCAGAAACACCAAAGAACAAAAAGCCUCAGCCCCCAUCCACCCACAGAAAGGCCGAUUUAACAACUACAUGUGUAUGAGAAU
rnacentral:lncRNA from 1 species